ACGAACGCUGGCGGCGUGCUUCACACCUGCAAGUCGAACGGAAAGACCCUGCUUUUGUGGGGUGCUCGAGUGGCGAACGGGUGAGUAACACGUGAGUAACCUGCCCUUGACUUUGGGAUAACUUCAGGAAACUGGGGCUAAUACCGGAUAGGAGCUCCUGCUGCAUGGUGGGGGUUGGAAAGUUUCGGCGGUUGGGGAUGGACUCGCGGCUUAUCAGCUUGUUGGUGGGGUAGUGGCUUACCAAGGCUUUGACGGGUAGCCGGCCUGAGAGGGUGACCGGCCACAUUGGGACUGAGAUACGGCCCAGACUCCUACGGGAGGCAGCAGUGGGGAAUAUUGCACAAUGGGCGGAAGCCUGAUGCAGCAACGCCGCGUGCGGGAUGACGGCCUUCGGGUUGUAAACCGCUUUCGCCUGUGACGAAGCGUGAGUGACGGUAAUGGGUAAAGAAGCACCGGCUAACUACGUG
rnacentral:rRNA from 1 species